GUUCGCAGGGAUCGGCGGGCGGCACCUGAUGGGGAAGAUCGAAGCGCUCCAGGUCAUCUGGGAGGCCCUUGAAGAAAUGGCAUUUGACAGCAGUCCUGCCAUCAGAAAGCUGGCAAUUGAAACUGGGCUCGUUCUCCGGGCCAUACAGAGAGCUCCCUACUCCCCAUGGCGUAAGCUGCGAGAUCGAUUCCGCAAUGCAUGGAAGAAACGGCCUCGUCCCUGCAGCACUGCCUUGCUGUGCUGCUGGACCUCUGUGGAGAGCUGAUAUGGAAGGCUCUCUCUCGUGAGGCCAUUUAAGCCAGCAGGGAUUUUCUUUUUCAACAGGAUUUUUGGUUUCGUAUUAUCAUUUUUUUUGUACGUAAAUAAAGAAUAUGUUGUAAUGGA